AGUUUGAUCAUGGCUCAGGACGAACGCUGGCGGCGUGGAUAAGGCAUGCAAGUCGAACGCGAACGGAGCAACUAAUUCGUUAGAAGCUCCUAGUAGAGUGGCGAACGGGUGAGUAACGCGUGGAUAACGUGCCUCUCAGUGGGGAAUAACACAGGGAAACUUGUGCUAAUACCGCAUACGUCCUUCCGGCCAAGUCGGAAUGAUGAAAGGUGGGGACCUUCGGGCCUGCCGCUGAGAGAUCGGUCCGCGUCCCAUUAGCUGGUUGGUGGGGUAAUGGCCUACCAAGGCUGUGAUGGGUAGCCGGCCUGAGAGGGUGACCGGCCACACUGGGAUUGAGAUACGGCCCAGACUCCUUCGGGAGGCAGCAGUCGAGAAUCUUCCACAAUGGACGAAAGUCUGAUGGAGCGACGCCGCGUGAGUGAUGAAGGCCCUACGGGUUGUAAAACUCUGUCAGGAGAGAAGAAUCGCCGGGGUGCCAAUACCACCCUGGUCUGACGUUAUCUCCAGAGGAAGCUCCGGCUAACUCCGUGCCAGCAGCCGCGGUAAUACGGGGGGAGCAAGCGUUGUCCGGAAUUAUUGGGCGUAAAGGGCGUGUAAGCGGCCUGGUCAGUCGAAUGUGAAAUCCCACGGCUCAACCGUGGAACUGCGUUCGAUACUGCCUGGCUUGAGUAUGUGAGAGGUGUGCGGAAUUCCUGGUGUANCGGUGGAAUGCGUAGAUAUCNNGANNAACACCGAUGGCNNAAGGC
rnacentral:rRNA from 1 species